rnacentral:rRNA from 1 species
UACGUAGGGCGCAAGCGUUAUCCGGAAUUAUUGGGCGUAAAGAGCUCGUAGGCGGUUUGUCGCGUCUGCCGUGAAAGUCCGGGGCUCAACUCCGGAUCUGCGGUGGGUACGGGCAGACUAGAGUGAUGUAGGGGAGACUGGAAUUCCUGGUGUAGCGGUGAAAUGCGCAGGAUAUCAGGAGGAACACCGAUGGCGAAGGCAGGUCUCUGGGCAUUAACUGACGCUGAGGAGCGAAAGCAUGGGGAGCGAACAGG